rnacentral:rRNA from 1 species
GACGAACGCUGGCGGCGUGCUUAAAACAUGCAAGUCGAACGGACUUCUCAUGAAGCUUGCGAUUGAGAAGUUAGUGGCGGACGGGUGAGUAACGCGUGGGCAACCUGCCCCUGAGCCCGGGAUAACAGUUCGAAAGGACUGCUAAGACCGGAUAUACUUGCGGUGAAGCAUUUCACUGCAAGGAAAGGGAACGCUCAGGGAUGGGCCCGCGUCCCAUUAGCUAGUUGGUGAGGUAACGGCCCACCAAGGCGACGAUGGGUAGCCGGCCUGAGAGGGUGAACGGCCACACUGGGACUGAGACACGGCCCAGACUCCUACGGGAGGCAGCAGUUGGGAAUCUUCGGCAAUGGGCGCAAGCCUGACCGAGCAACGCCGCGUGAGUGAUGAAGGUUUUCGGAUUGUAAAGCUCUGUCUUCCGGGACGAUAAUGACGGUACCGGAGGAGGAAGCCACGGCUAACUACGUGCCAGCAGCCGCGGUAAUCACGAGAGUAA